rnacentral:rRNA from 1 species
GACGAACGCUGGCGGCGUGCCUAAUACAUGCAAGUAGGACGCUGAAGAGAGGAGCUUGCUCUUCUUGGAUGAGUUGCGAACGGGUGAGUAACGCGUAGGUAACCUGCCUUGUAGCGGGGGAUAACUAUUGGAAACGAUAGCUAAUACCGCAUAACAAUGGAUGACACAUGUCAUUUAUUUGAAAGGGGCAAUUGCUCCACUACAAGAUGGACCUGCGUUGUAUUAGCUAGUAGGUGAGGUAACGGCUCACCUAGGCGACGAUACAUAGCCGACCUGAGAGGGUGAUCGGCCACACUGGGACUGAGACACGGCCCAGACUCCUACGGGAGGCAGCAGUAGGGAAUCUUCGGCAAUGGGGGCAACCCUGACCGAGCAACGCCGCGUGAGUGAAGAAGGUUUUCGGAUCGUAAAGCUCUGUUGUAAGUCAAGAACGAGUGUGAGAGUGGAAAGUUCACACUGUGACGGUAGCUUACCAGAAAGGGACGGCUAACUACGUGCCAGCAGCCGCGGUAAUACGUAGGUCCCGAGCGUUGUCCGGAUUUAUUGGGCGUAAAGCGAGCGCAGGCGGUUUGAUAAGUCUGAAGUUAAAGGCUGUGGCUCAACCAUAGUUCGCUUUGGAAACUGUCAAACUUGAGUGCAGAAGGGGAGAGUGGAAUUCCAUGCGUAGCGGUGAAAUGCGUAGAUAUAUGGAGGAACACCGGUGGCGAAAGCGGCUCUCUGGUCUGUAACUGACGCUGAGGCUCGAAAGCGUGGGGAGCGAACAGG